CCCCCACACGCCCCCCGGCACCCCACGCCCCCCCGGCGGGCCCGCCCACCGACCGGACAAACCCAAACCCCCCGCAGCCGAAAUCAGCGCCUGAAAAAACUCAAUAGUUACAACUCUCAACAACGGAUCUCUUGGUUCUGGCAUCGAUGAAAAACGCAGCGAAAUGCGAUAAGUUGUGUGAAUUGGGGACUUAAUUGAAUCAUCAAAUCUUUGAACGCACAUUGCUCCCCUUGGUAUUCCAUGGGGCAUGCUUGUUCGAGCGUCAUUUGUACCCUCAAGCUCUGCUUGGUGUUGGGUGAUUUUCUCCUGUUGACUCUCCUUAAAACACUUGGUUGCCUGCGUAUUGAUUAAGGAGCGCAGUACAUCUCGCGCUUUGCACUCAUAACGACUACGUCCAAAAGUACAUUUUUACACGCUUGACCUCGGAUCAGGUAAGGGAUACCCGCUGAACUUAA
rnacentral:rRNA from 1 species